rnacentral:rRNA from 1 species
GACGAACGCUGGCGGCGUGCUUAACACAUGCAAGUCGAACGAUGAACCACUUCGGUGGGGAUUAGUGGCGAACGGGUGAGUAACACGUGGGCAAUCUGCCCUGCACUCUGGGACAAGCCCUGGAAACGGGGUCUAAUACCGGGAUACCACCACCGCAGGCAUCUGUGGUGGUUGAAAGCUCCGGCGGUGCAGGAUUGAGCCCGCGGCCUAUCAGCUUGUUGGUGAGGUAGAAGCUCACCAAGGCGACGACGGGUAGCCGGCCUGAGAGGGCGACCGGCCACACUGGGACUGAGACACGGCCCAGACUCCUACGGGAGGCAGCAGUGGGGAAUCUUGCGCAAUGGACGAAAGUCUGACGCAGCGACGCCGCGUGGGUGAUGAAGGCCUGGUGU